GAAAGUUGUUCAUUUCAUCCACAUUCUUGAAUUUGUAGCAUUUAGUUGUUAAUCUCUUCUUUGCAGUUACUUGUAGUUAAUAUCCCCUUGUCUUUUUUUAAAAUGCCUUCUUUUUUUCUUGAUAAUUUUUGGCUAAAAGUUUGCCAAUUUUUAAAGAUUUUUCAGAGAAUCAAGUUUUUGAUAUUGUUUAUGCUCUUUAGUGUAUCCUUCCUGUUUCAUUAAUUUUUGCUCUUCUUUUCUUUUCUUACAUUUCCUUUGUAGUUCUGUUCUUUUUUUCUAAUUUCUUAAGCUGGGUGCCUGUCAUUAAUUUUCAGCAUUUUAACAUAGUUAUUUAAGAUCAUAAAAUGUCUGCGUAUUGCCUCCUUGUUUUGAUGUGUGUGAUAUUUCCGUUAUUUUUACUUGUAUUUUUCUAUUUUCCGUUGUGAAUUCUUUAACUUAUGAGCUAUUUAAAAAUUUAAUUUCCAAACAGAGUUCCUCUAGUUGAUUUGGCUGUUGAUUUGUAAUUGCAUUUUGGUUAGGCAGCCUGUUUGAGUGUGAUGCCAAUUGGUGUGUAUAAUGCCAACUCUUUGAAAUAUGUUUAGACUAUUAAAAAUGUGGUCCAUUUUAAUAAUUUUUAUUUGUACAUGAAGAGACUAUGUAUUGCCUGGUUUUUGGUGCAGUUUUAUAUAUGUUCAUUAUGUAGCCUUGUUAAUUAUGUUGUUCAAAUCUCAUAUCUUUAUUUUUUAUUAAGAGAGCAGAGUUAAUCUUUUACUAGAAUUUUGUUUCGUUUUUCAUUUUUCUUUGUAGUUCUAUCGAUUUUUAAACCAUAUUUUAACAUUAUUACUAGCACAUGAAAGAACUGUAAUCCUGUAAUCUUAGCACCUUGGGAGGCUGAGGUGGGAGGAUCACUUGAGCCCAAGAGUUU
rnacentral:lncRNA from 10 species